UGGGGGGUAGCUCAGAGGCAGAGCAGUUGGCUGUUAACCAUCAGGUCGAGAUUUCGAUAUUCUCUCUCCCAGCGA
rnacentral:tRNA from 1 species